AAAGUUCGUCGUCUAUCUUUUAUCCCUGUAACAUCAAUCAAUAUAUAUCUGGAAUCAAAUAUUCAUCUUUGCGCUACAGGCCAAAGAUAUUCAUCAGUUGGUCAUGUUCAUCUAAACACCUGUUCAUCUUUGCACUACGGGCCAAAGAUAUUCAUCAGAAAUCAUUCAUCUUUGCACUACAGGCCAAAGAUAUUCCAUAAUAUCAUCAUUUAAGACUGAGGAUGAUGAAAAAUAUUUUUUAAAGAAACGAAUCCAGUGAAUCAAAAUGACAAGGACUAAGGAUU
rnacentral:lncRNA from 1 species